ensembl:misc_RNA Y_RNA Y RNA
GGCUGGUUCAAGUGCAGUGGUGUUUACACCUAAUUGAUCACAACCAGUUAUAGAUACCUUUCUUCCUUUUAUAGUCCCACUGCUUCACUUGACUAGCCUUUU